rnacentral:rRNA from 1 species
UACGAAGGGGGCUAGCGCUGUUCGGAAUUACUGGGCGUAAAGCGCGCGCAGGCGGUCUUCCAAGUCAGUGGUGAAAGCCUGGAGCUCAACUCCAGAACUGCCAUUGAAACUGUUAGACUUGAGUACGAGAGAGGUGAGUGGAAUUCCCAGUGUAGAGGUGAAAUUCGUAGAUAUUGGGAAGAACACCGGUGGCGAAGGCGGCUCUCUGGACCGAUACUGACGCUGAGGCGCGAAAGCGUGGGGAGCAAACAGC